UAGGCGUAAUGCUUUUGGUGUCUAGAUGU
rnacentral:piRNA from 1 species